AUGACUGGUUCGGUCGAUGCGUUCGCGGAGCUGGACCGCUCAAUCACCGGGAAGGUGCGGUUCCCAGAUGGAUCUAUGGUGGAGAUCCACGGACGUGGGACCGUUGUCUUCGCCGACAAAGGGGGUGAUCACAGGGCGUUUACGGAUGUCUACUUCAUCCCGGCGCUCAAGAGCAGCGUCGUGAGUGUCGGACAGCUCGACGAGGGCUGGUUCAACAUCGGCAUCCGGCGCGGUGUUCUCACCAUGCGCGACCAGCAGAAGAGGCUACUCAUCGAGGUAACCCCCUCACCAAACCGCCUCUAUAAGUUCUUCUUUUGA
rnacentral:rRNA from 1 species